rnacentral:rRNA from 1 species
GACGAACGCUGGCGGCGUGCUUAACACAUGCAUGUCGAACGGAAAGGCCCUGCUUUUGUGUGGUGCUCGAGUGGCGAACGGGUGAGUAACACGGGAGUAACCUUCCCUUGACUUUGGGAUAACUGCAGGAAACUGGUGCUAAUAACGGAUAAGAGCUCCUGCUGCUUGUUGUUGGUUGGAAAUUUUCGGCGGUUGGGGAUGGACUCGCUACUUAGCAGCUUGUGGGUGUGGUAGUUGCUUACCAAGGCUUUGGCGGUUAGCCGGCGUGAGAGGGUGACCGGCCACAUUGGGACGGGGAAAGGGCCCGGACUCCUACGGGGGGCAGCGGUGGGAAAAUUUCCACAAUGGGCCGAAGCAGGAUGAAGCAACGCCGCGUGGGGGAGGACGGCCUUAGGGUUGUAAACCGUUUUAGCAUGUGACGAAGCGUGAGUGACGGUAACUUGUAAAGAAGCACCGGCUAACUACGUG